GAAAGAUUAAGCCUAAUUUAUUGAGUAGGUAAAAUUAUAUAUGGAAUUAAAAUUGAGUAAAUUAUACAAAUGGUACCUCAGCUUAAGAAUAUGUAACAUUAAGGUACUUAAACCUUAAUUUGUAAUAUAAAAAUCAUAUUCUUUAAUUUAAAUAACAUAGAACCUCCUUAUGACCUUAAGUAUCUAGUUUCUAUGUUAUUUAUGCCAACAUGACAUUUAUCAAAUUAAAAAAUUAUAUUUUUAUGGAUUGAUAAUCUUGGAUAAACAGGUUUUAGGUCACUAAAAUAUUAAUAUGUAUAAUUUAAAUAGUUAAAACUGUGGAUAAAUAGAGAAUAAAAUUAUUUUUUUUUCUCCAAUGAGUGUUAUAUUAAUAAAAAAUAUAUAAAUUUAAUUUGAUAAGUGCUACAUCAACAACAAUAACUAAAAAUUGACUACUAAAUUUCACA
rnacentral:misc_RNA from 1 species